rnacentral:rRNA from 1 species
UACAGAGGGGGCGAGCGUUGUUCGGAAUUACUGGGCGUAAAGGGCGCGUAGGCGGCCCGCUAAGUCGAACGUGAAAUCCCCAGGCUCAACCUGGGAACUGCGUCCGAUACUGGCAGGCUUGAAUCCGGGAGAGGGAUGUGGAAUUCCCGGUGUAGUGGUGAAAUGCGUAGAUAUCGGGAGGAACACCAGUGGCGAAGGCGGCUUUCUGGCCCGUUCUUGACGCUGAGGCGCGAAAGCUAGGGUAGCAAACGGG